GACAUAGCUCAGUUGGUAGAGCGUGAGACUCUUCACCGCAGGGUCAUGGGUUCAAGCCCCACAUUGGAAAAA